GACGAACGCUGGCGGCGUGCUUAACACAUGCAAGUCGAACGGAAAGGCCCUGCUUUUGUGGGGUGCUCGAGUGGCGAACGGGUGAGUAACACGUGAGUAACCUGCCCUUGACUUUGGGAUAACUUCAGGAAACUGGGGCUCAUACCGGAUAGGAGCUACUGCUGCAUGGUGGGGGUUGGAAAGUUUCGGCUGUUGGUGAUGGACUCGCGGCGUAUCAGCUUGUUGGUGGGGUAGUGGAUUACCAAGGCUUUGACGGGUAGCCGGCCUGAGAGGGUGACCGGCCACGUUGGGACUGAGAUACGGCACAGACUCCUACGGGAGGCAACAGUGGGGAAUAUUGCACAGUGGGCGGAAGCCUGAUGCAGCAACGCCGCGUGCGGGAUGACGGCCUUCGGGUUGUAAACCGCAUUCGCCUGUGACGAGGCGUGAGUGACAGUAAUGGGUAAAGAAGCACCGGCUAACUACGUG
rnacentral:rRNA from 1 species